GGCAACAAGGAGACCCACGGGCCAGUGAGGAGACAAGCACCACUGCAGCAAGAGACAAGCUGGGGAGACGUGUGGAGACGAACACCAUUACAGCAAAGAGCGGCAGCGAGAAACCACAGAGAAGCGGGCUGGUCAGAGGUGUGUCCAUCUUUCCACUCAGCCCCCGACCCACACACCACCCAGGCCUGCUGUGUGAGGCGGGCUAAUCAGGAGACGAGCAGUAGGAAGUAAGAAAGGCAGCGAGUUGGAGUUGAGUGAGAGCGGUGUCCAUCUCUCCACUCAGCCCCCCGAAAACCACCACAAACCAACAAGAAGCGGGAAGAGGUCGGGCCCCCAAAACACUUCCAAGCUGCUCUCUACGUCACGACGAGCGCCCGCCUCUCCACACCAACCGGCGCCCGUCUGUCCAUCACCAGGACCGCCCAUUCCCAUCGUGGACGUCCCCUGCCGAGCCCGACGCUCACGCCAGCUCCUGCCUCUCCUCUUCCAGCAACUAGAGUUAAGCAUUGAGUAUUCCCCAAAUCUCCCUUGUGCCGGUAGCUAGUUAGGUAAGAGGCAUACAGCCUGUCAGUCAUUUUUAGUACUCUGCUAACCUUUGAAAAUUAAACCAAAUACAUAUUUAUAUAAAACCUUACUGUGAGUGUCUUCAUUUGGAGCCUGUUUUCCCUCUCACUUUAGAUUACUGAACCCUUACACACGCCCCCCAUAGUACAUUAUCACCAUCCAGUUUCUUAAUAUUGUCUCAAGUGGUUCACACGGAAAUCCUCCCACCUUCCAUAAUUAAUCACACAAGUAACGCCCUUCUGGUCACAAACCUCGGAAUGAGUGUUCACUUGUCCUGAGGCCUUGUCUAUCAUCCGGGACCAGCGCUCGGGAAUGUAGACUACUACCACGCAACCACAUACCAUCACUACCAUAGUGGUGGUCAAAAAGGGAUGUAGCGACAUCCAUAAACACCAGACAAGAGAUAGAAAAAGAACGCUACACCAGGAGUAGCUAUGACCCUGGUGGUGGUGUGACCCUUCCUUGAUCUGUACCGUGAACCUAAAGACACUCAUUAUAACCAGAUUGACCCCCUCUUUGACCCCUUGAAAUGGUUGACAGAGAAAUCAGGUGUCCUGUAAUACCAGGUUAAAUAGAUUAGCUGAUGUUUGCCCGGCUAAUAUGAAGGUUGGUGAAGGAGUUUUUGGAAGGAAAUGCAAGGAAAAACUUUACAUACAAACUGUAGAUUUAUUGAAACUACAAAUAAUUAUGUAUAUAUUUGAGAUUAUAUGAGCAAUUAUGUUUCCUAAGAGAAUAUGAAAAUUCCUUUCCUUAUGACACACACACACACACACACACACACACACCAGAAAAAAAAAUGCCUUAACAAUUGUAUAUUUAAACUACAAAUAAUUAUGUAUAUAUUUAUGAGAUUAUAUGAGAAAUUGUUUCCUUGAGAGAAUGAGAAUUCCUUUCCUUAUGACACACACACACACACACACACACACACACACACACACACACACACACACACACACACACACACACACACACACCAGAAAAAAAAUGACUUGCCAAUUGUAGAUUUAUUUAAACUGCAAAUAAUUAUGUAUAUUUUUGAGAUUAUGAGUAAUUAUAUUUCCUUAUGAAAGAAUGAGAAUAGCUUUCCUUAUGACACACACACACACACACACACACA